rnacentral:rRNA from 1 species
GAUGAACGCUGGCGGCGUGCCUAACACAUUCAAGUCGAACGGAGUUAUUUCAAUUGAUCCUUCGGGUGAUUUUGUUUUAACUUAGUGGCGGACGGGUGAGUAACGCGUGAGCAACCUGCCUCUGCGUGGGGGAUAACGACUGGAAACGGUCGCUAAUACCGCAUAACGUAGUGAGAUCGCAUGUUCUUACUACCAAAGAUUUAUUGCGCAGAGAUGGGCUCGCGUCUGAUUAGAUAGUUGGUGGGGUAACGGCCUACCAAGUCUGCGAUCAGUAGCCGGACUGAGAGGUUGAACGGCCACAUUGGAACUGAGAAACGGUCCAGACUCCUACGGGAGGCAGCAGUGGGGAAUAUUGGGCAAUGGGCGAAAGCCUGACCCAGCGACGCCGCGUGCGGGAAGACGGUCUUCGGAUUGUAAACCUAAGUAGUCAGGGACGAUAAUGACGGUACCUGACUAAGAAGCACCGGCUAAAUACGUG